AGCUCUGGUUGAGACAGGGCCCAAUGCUGUGCAAAACCAGUGGCUGAUUGUUCCACUAAAGACAAAUCUGGUUUAUUCACGUUGGAAAAGAUGAUCUUGUUUCCAGCUCACCAAAGCUGUUUCAUUAUGUAAACAAAGAGAAGUUCAAUCAGGUGGACCUGAAUGCUAGAAAAGCCAGAGCCAGAAAGGCCAGGGAUAAAAGCAAAGCAUAGCCAAUGCGUGGGACUGACACCAAGAGGCCCUUUUGGCUGCCUCAGAGCUCCUGGCCCACUGUGGCUUUUUGUCUUACAAACUGAGAUCGAAGUGAUUUGCCCCAUAAAUAAAAGUUCUUCCACCUGGACAGUGUAUGGACUGGAGACAGCUUACAGAGGCAGCCCCGGUUUGAACCGACUGAGGUUCAUGCAGCAAACUGGACUUGUGCCAGGCCCACCGGAGCAGAGGCUGUUAGUGCGAGGUGGAGCCCAAGCAGAGCGCAGGAUGGGAGGUCUCUCCAAAUGAAUGUGAUCCCUCCUUGUUCCUACAGAUUAGUUUGAACGCUGACAUGAUGGCUGCCAAAAACUGAAUCUGCCAGAAAUGUUAACAAAAGGCACUUUGAUCUCAUUCACUUGUCCUUGUUAAGAAUGUAUUGUAUUGUUUUGUCUUCUUUGCGGUCAGAAGAAAAAUGUUUCACCCUUGCAAAGUGUGUAUCACUCAUGUUCAAUAAUCUACAUGCUGCAUUACAGAGGACUUCUGCUUUUCCCUGCUACUUACUUUUGAGGUGCUUACUUCAGUGGUUGCUGCAUCUACGUGUUUGUUUAAAUACCGUAGGGAUAGUUUAUAUUUUUUUAUGUAAAAGAGUGAGAUUUAGAUGAGAUCUUGAAGUUCUCAUCUAAAAAGCUGAAGAAUUUAAUUUGUAUUACAUGCGUAAAAACUUCUCAAAAGUCAAUUUAAACUUUCAUGCUAGUUGUUAAAUCCUUGGCUCAGUAGUUAAUUCAUUUCAAAUAUCUCUUCUUGGCACAAGGUUUACAUUUUUCUAACCACAUAUUUACUGUGAAAAGCAGCUAAUACUCACUAAUAAAUUGGCAAUUAUCUAGCA
rnacentral:lncRNA from 1 species